rnacentral:rRNA from 1 species
UGGGGAAUAUUGGGCAAUGGGGGGAAACCCUGACCCAGCAACGCCGCGUGAAGGAUGAAGUAUUUCGGUAUGUAAACUUCGAAAGAAUAGGAAGAAUAAAUGACGGUACUAUUUAUAAGGUCCGGCUAACUACGUGCCAGCAGCCGCGGUAAUACGUAGGGACCAAGCGUUGUUCGGAUUUACUGGGCGUAAAGCGCACGUAGGCGGCUAGGUCCGUCCGAUGUGAAAGCCCCCGGCUCAACCGGGGAAUUGCAUCGGAUACAGCCUGGCUUGAGGACGGUUGGGGUGAGUGGAACUCCUGGUGGAGCGGUGAAAUGCGUAGAUAUCAGGAGGAACACCGGUGGCGAAAGCGGCUCACUGGACCGUUACUGACGCUGAGGUGCGAAAGCUAGGGGAGCAAACGGGAUUAGAUACCCAGGUAGUCCCUGAGCGGGCUGGCAAGGCGCAU